GGGGAGGGGAACUGAGAUUGCCUCGCUGGGGAGGUGACCCGGUGAUGGGUCCCAGGAUAAGACCGAAGGAAUAUAGACUAUGGACUUAAGGACGUGGAGUGUGCACCCAGGACAUCCAGGACCCAGAGACCUGAAAGUUGUCGUUGGAAAAAAGUGGGAGGACCUUGGGAGCUGCAGGAACGGGGAAUUGAGCAGAAAUGUGCGUCUGCCCACAGCUGCACCAUCGACCCUCUCCCCUUUUUGAAAAGGCUGCGGAAAAGUUGAGGAUCUUCUCGUCGUUGUUCGGUAGUGACACAGACUAAAGCAGCAAAGCUGAAGAAAAGGCCCGGGAGGGGCCACUUUGCCUCCUGCUGGGGCCCUUCGCAUUUGCGGCCCCACCCCCACCCAUCUCCCCUCCACCUCCUGGCUUCCAUUUUUUGGGCCAGAGGCCAGGCUUGUGUACUGGACUGUGAGAGCAAGGAGGAGGCUAGGGAAGAGGCCUGAAGGGGCGGUUCCUACGCCAUAGGUCGGGAUGCCCUGCAGCCUGGAGACCAGACCAUUGAGACUCACAAAUGCGCCUCUGUGUUCCCCAACUAAGGUCUAGGUUGGGGGCCCGGGAUGAGGACAGUACCCUGGUUGUGGGUUUGGUUGGAGGAGGUUAAGAGACCUUCCAUAGUGUCCUUCCUCGGAACCUACCGCCCAGGCUAGGAGACACUGCCCCUUUCACCCACUGCAGCCCCAGGGUGGAGUGCUGGACGUGAGGGCGGAAGUCCCUCCCCGUCCUGGGACGUGCCUGCUGGCCCUGCGGCCAGGGCCUCUCUCCUUCCUUGGCUGCCCUCGUGGACGCCGGGUGAGAGGCUCCACAAGCGGCAUUGACCCUAUUCCACCAGGUCUCAGGAGCCCCUCCACAGUCCCGCCCUAACCUUAAGCAUGUUUCCGAGGAGCCAUCUCCCCUUUUUCCUCAUGCCUAUCAUCUGCCAGUACUGUUCCCCCACCACAGACAUAAGAGUGGAACUUCUCACUAGUUGUGCAAGAUGAAGCAAUGCGGAUCAUGAAGAUCCAAAGACAGCCUCAGGGUACCUGGGCUUCCUUAUCUUCUCUCUGGACUGAUAACCCUCAAUCUGCUGCCUGAAUCUGGGCGAAGGUGAAAGAUGAAACAGAGACCAGCAGAGGACAAAAUACUUAAAAGUAUAUAAAAACAUUUAUUCUUAAAAAACACGAUUGGUUAAGUAUCUCUUUAGAAGUGAAAGCAGCCAUCAGAUGGGCUCUCAGAGAAAGACACUGUAUACAUGUUAAAAACAAAGAGGCAGCAAACAUUUUUACAAGGGAGGAACUGAAUUCAAAGGCAUCCAAUAAGAUACCCUGCACGGCAGGGAUGGGAAUAG